CAGAAACCUGUCUGGCUGUCAUUCUUUGUUCCCCCUGACCCUUCCCUUCUAGGUUCUUUGGUGACUGCAGCACAUUGGGGUGUGAGCUUGCGUGAUUCCCUGAAUGAAGGUCAGGGCAUUUCUGGCGCCCAAACGUGGGGCUCCACCCUCUUAGGACGUGGACCCGUUGACUCUGCAGAGGAUCCUCGACCUUUUUCCUAAGCGACCACAGUCUUGCCCACGCAGAGGAGGUGAAAUUUGAUCGCAUCCUUCUGAGGACUUUUUCCCUUUAAGAAGGUUCUGCCUGUGUCCUACAUUCUGUAGAAAGAAGCUUUGAAAUCCAGCAUUCACCAAGAAGUCUACAAGAGAAGAUCACAUGGCAUCUCCAGAGCAGAGACCAGGAGGAAGAGGAACAGAAAAGGAUCUGAAUUCCUUCUUGUCCUUGUUUAUAUAUGAGCCUGCCUGCUAUGUCACUUCCUGCCUGGAUCACAAGACUUCUUUACUACAUUUCCCAGAAUCCUCCUUGACAUCUAGUCCUGCCUAACUUGCUGCCUCAUUGGCCAAACAGUACUUUAUUCAACAACCAGUAAGAAGAUAAACAUACACAGAAGGAGAAAGUAAAUUCAAUUCCCAAAAUCUAUAGAAAAGGAAGGAACCAAGUUCCACAGUUGUAACAGUAAGUCUUUUUCCCCCAUCACACAAUAUAUCCUAUUUUUAUGUCAUCCAAGUGCUUAUGCUAAUACACAUUGUGUCCAAAUAACAACAACAACAAUAAUAAUAAUAGAAAAAAAUAAUAAAGGUCAUAGUAAUAGUAAUAGUAAUAGUACUUUCAGUACAACAGUAGUUUGUAUCCUAACUGGUUUCCUUGAUAAAACACUAAUUCAUAGCAUGAAGUGAUGAAAUUGCUAGACUAUCACUUGCACUGAAGUACACAUCAAAAAUUAACCUGAAGAUUCACCCAUAAAGAUAUUCUUUGAUAAAUUUCAAUUCACAUCAAUUAACUUCUAGUCUUGCAAUAUCUUUCCAAAAUGGCAUAGCCUAAAUCAAAUAUUAUAAUAUAUGAAAAAUCUUUCCCUCAUUGUCCAAAUAUCAAUGGUUGAUGUAGCAUUUUUCUUACAAGAAUAUUUAAAUAAAUACUAAUCAGUGAGUGUAACUCCUUCUAUGUCCAGCAGACAUCCAGCUUUCCCAGAUUGAAUAUGCUGUCUUUUCUCUACUGUGUAUUUUUUGGUAACUUUGUCAAAAGUUAGAUGACUAUAGUUAUGUAUACCAAUGCUUGGGUCUUUGAUUUUUUUCCAAUGUUCUUCAUGUGUAUUUUUGAGCCAGUGACAUGUGAUUUGUGUUACUAUAGUUCUAUAACAUAGCUUAAUAUCAGUACGACAAUAACUGGGUCUCUUUUGGUUUCACAAGCAUUUUAUUUAUUUUUGUUUUAUCUGAAGAAUGUUAGGGGCCUUAGAUUGGAGUUGCAUUGAGUCUGGAAUUGACUUGGGCAAGACGAUUUUAAGUCUUUCAUAUUUACUGACUCAGGCGAAUUGAAGGCAUUUCUGUCUUCUUAUGUCUCCUGUCUCAAGGGUAUAACCGUGGCAAUUUUAUCUUGGGAAUGCCCAGCAACCAUCUAAUUGAACUGAAUUAAUGCUCAGUAGUAGGUAUUUAAUGCCUGGUACUGUAAAUAUAGCCAAAUAAAUAAUGCAGACAAAAACCAAGUGACUAUGGUGUAUGCAAACAAAAUUUUAUAACUAAAGACAAGCCCUACACCUAAUGGAAGAGUGGGAGGAAGGUUGUAAAGUACUCAUGAUCAUGACAUUUGCUAGGAUGUAGUAUUUUCUAUAUAUGAUGGGGAAGACAUACCAAUGAAGUGUCAACAAUAAAUUGCCUAAAGAAUAUCUAUCCAAUAAUAAUAUCAGUUGAUAUGUCAGUGUGGAAGGAGUAAAUCUCUCAAGGCUAUAAUACUUGAUGACAACUUUUAGAUAAUUAAUGGCAGCUGGAAGAUGGAGAAUCUUUUUUUACCCCCCAGGAGUGAGCUACCAGAUCAGCAUGUAGAGUUAGUACCAAUUAAACUAUAUAAAUUUAUUAUAAUGUGUUUUAAGGGAUAGGAGCACGUUAUCUUAAGACAGG
ensembl:lncRNA